UACGUAGGGGGCAAGCGUUGUCCGGAAUCAUUGGGCGUAAAGAGCGUGUAGGCGGCUCGAUAAGUCUGCUGUGAAAGUCCAGGGCUCAACCCUGGAAGGUCGGUGGAAACUGUCGGGCUAGAAUCCGGAAGAGGCGAGUGGAAUUCCCGGUGUAGCGGUGAAAUGCGCAGAUAUCGGGAGGAACACCAAUGGCGAAGGCAGCUCGCUGGGACGGUAUUGACGCUGAGACGCGAAAGCGUGGGGAGCAAACAGGG
rnacentral:rRNA from 1 species